UACGUAGGGGGCAAGCGUUGUCCGGAAUUACUGGGCGUAAAGCGCGUGUAGGCGGGACGACAAGUCCGGCGUGAAAGGCUCGGGCUCAACCCGAGACGGCCGUUGGAAACUGUCGUUCUUGAGGGUCGAAGAGGAGAGUGGAAUUCCUGGUGUAGCGGUGAAAUGGCGUAGAGAUCAGGAGGAACACCCAUGGCGAAGGCAGCUCUCGUGGUCGACCUCUGACGCUGAGACGCGAAAGCGUGGGGAGCGAACGGG
rnacentral:rRNA from 1 species